GCCUAACACAUGCAAGUCGAACGGGAAUAGGAUGAAACCUAGUGAUUCCUAUUCUAGUGGCGGACGGGUGAGUAACGCGUGGGUAACCUGCCUUGCACUGGGGGAUAACACUUAGAAAUAGGUGCUAAUACCGCAUAAGCGCACAGAACCGCAUGGUUCGGUGUGAAAAACUCCGGUGGUGUAAGAUGGACCCGCGUCUGAUUAGCUGGUUGGUGAGGUAACGGCUCACCAAGGCGACGAUCAGUAGCCGGCCUGAGAGGGUGAACGGCCACAUUGGGACUGAGACACGGCCCAAACUCCUACGGGAGGCAGCAGUGGGGAAUAUUGCACAAUGGGGGAAACCCUGAUGCAGCAACGCCGCGUGAGUGAAGAAGUCAUUCGUGAUGUAAAGCUCUAUCAGCAGGGAAGAAAAUGACGGUACCUGACUAAGAAGCCCCGGCUAACUACGUGCCAGCAGCCGCGGUAAUACGUAGGGGGCAAGCGUUAUCCGGAUUUACUGGGUGUAAAGGGAGCGUAGACGGCGACGCAAGUCUGAAGUGAAAUGCCAGUGCUCAACACUGGAACUGCUUUGGAAACUGUGUAGCUAGAGUGCAGGAGAGGUAAGUGGAAUUCCUAGUGUAGCGGUGAAAUGCGUAGAUAUUAGGAGGAACACCAGUGGCGAAGGCGGCUUACUGGACUGUAACUGACGUUGAGGCUCGAAGGCGUGGGGAGCAAACAGGAUUAGAUACCC
rnacentral:rRNA from 1 species